rnacentral:lncRNA from 1 species
CUCCGCUAUCACUCCACUUGCCUCCAGCUCAGUGGCACUGCCCAGGAAUGAGAAAUGAAUUUACAGUGACCCCCACUGGGCGUGCAGGAAUAAGGCUGGGAUGACCAGCCCAGUGGCACUUCAAGCCAUAGCCUACAGGGGGAUGCAUUGUUUGGCUCUCUAGGGCUUGGAAUUUUCCAAAUGACCACAUGACUGCAAAUCCGCUUUGGUUUAUUUUGUAACAUGGCACCUUUCCAAUUACUCCUUGUCCCAACUGGCCAAGAGGGAUGCCUGACAAAGUGUGAAUAAUGGCUCCUCUUUUUUUUUGCCAGAGUGUUGCUGGUCACGCCUAUUAUUUUUUCUUUCUUAUUGUAUUUUCAUUAACUUAAAAUAAUUUUUUUGGUCUUUCUAGGGCUGCACCCACAGCAUAUGGAGGUUCCCAGGCUAGGGGUCCAAUUGGAGCCAUAGCUGCUGGCCUACACCACAGCCACAGCAAUGCAUGAUCCAAGCCGUGUCUGCGACCUGCACCACAUCUCACAGUGAUGCCAGAUCCUUAACCCACUGAGCAAGUUCAGGUAUUGAACCUGCGUGCUCAUGGAUGGUAGUCAGAUUUGUUUCCACUGAGCCAUGGCGGGAACUCCUUAAAAUAAUUUUUAAGCAACUGUUGUUAAAUUAGGGUAUAAGGUCUUCCAACUUAAGUACAGCAUAAAUGCUUCUGUUUGCUUUCUUUCAAGCCAACGGUUGCCCUUCACCUGCCUCUGGCGUUUUAAGGGGCACGAGACUUGAUGCCGUCUCCUCCUUGCCAUCAGGACCGUCUCCAGCCUUAUCCCCAGUCUUUGUCCAAGCCAGUUCCUGGGGAUCAGCUUCCAGGAAAAGAAGGCUGCCUUUUAUUUCUAGAAUUCCAUUCAAAGGAACGGAAGUGAGGAAGGAGAGAGAGGGUCAGGCCUGGAGUCGGGGGGAAGGACGUGGUAACAGUGGAGAGGUGAGAGUGACGUUGGCUGGUAGAGGAGGGGGCGGGGGGAGACAGGAAAGGGAGCAGAGGUGGUUGGGGGCUGGCUGACCCCUACCUUUUGUAGCUCUUAUCCAUAACCAUUUAGAAGGUAUGAAUCAAACUAACAGAUGGUUAAUAAGAUGGUGGUAGCCUUCCGUUUUUGCAGGGAUCCCUCUUGAUGAUGGUGGAGGCAGAUGUGAAUGUAGAACUAUCAGCUUCUGCAGAGAUACUUGCUAGAAUAUUGUGGACCUCCUGCCAGGCCUGGGUCUCCAGGUGCUUUCCACGCUGACCCUGCUGCAUCACAUAUGAGGGGUCGCAGGUGCACACACAGAGAUGCCCCGCCUCAUGAUCAUGCUCUGGUCGUAUCUCCAACCCCCAUCCCUGACAAACAGGAGCUUCUAGGCCACCUGUUGGGCCUCAGAGUGUAUACACUGGCCGUAUGGUUCUUCCUUGCAGGUUUGUACCCAGGGAAAAGGCCAUCGAGCCCCUCAAAGUGAACCUGGAUGCUGUCUACAAGAAGCGGGGUUUCAUAAUGGUUCCAACUUGGCCCAUGCCCUUGGAUUCAUGGCCUCUCUGCUUUUGGGCAGGAAAUAGGGUUGGAGAAGGGCCAGAGUGAGGCCCUUGAAAGUGUAGAGGUCCCUCUUGCCCAGGUCCAAGCCUAAUACUAAGUAACAGAACUGUUCUGUCUUCCCACAAAGAACAUCUUUAAAAGUACAGGUAAAUAGCCAAGCUCAGGCCUUGGAGGUUGAAAGGUGCCAGGUCCACACUUGUUAGGGAAGUUUCAGAGUCCCUUGCCUUUGGCUGGACUCUGCUGGGCUGGACCACAGGCAUCCUUGCAGUCACCAGUACAGCCUGAAGACCAGAGGCCUUUCUUUCUCCCCAUUUUCUAGGAACCAGGAAAGAUUCCAGCUGACCUAGGACCCUGAAGCAGGACAGAGAGAAUUUCUCAAUCUCUCGGGUUCAUGCGGGGCUCAGAGUCAUAUUUAAUUUGAUUUAGAAAAAUAAAAUCACGUGGCAUGCCCUGUACUCCAUCCUAGUGUGAUGUAUACAAUGAUAAUAACAAGCACAUAAAGCACAUUAUCCAAUUUCUGAAUCCACAGCGUGUUCUCUUACACCUGCAGUCUGCCCUGUUUACGUGCUUCCCUUUGGGUACUAGUCCUGCACAUGAUAAAUUUCUUGAAGGCAGGAAGUGGCUUAAUUCUCACUGAGUUCUUAGCUGAAUGCAUCAGAGUGCCAUGCACACAUCAGACUUUUAAGAACUGAUUUGUUGAGUUGAAUAGAAUGUUUCUGAAUUCAAUGUAAAAAUGAGUGGUCAAGGAUGUAUCACUUUAUUCUUAGAACUAGUAGGGCUUUUUUUUUUUUUUUUUUCUAUUUCCGUAUUAAUCUAGACAAAAACAUCCACUAAAUUUUUUUUUUUUAAGGCCACUCCUGUGGCAUAUGGCAGUUCCUAGGCUGGGGGUCAAAUUGGAGCUACAGGCCUAUACUACAGCCACAAGAAUGUGGGAUCCAAGCCAUGUCUGUGACCCACACCACAGUUUACGGAAAUGCUGGAUCCCCAACCAACCCAGUGGGGCCAGGGAUCCGGGUUUGUUACCACUAAGCCAAGACAGGAAUUUCCUAAGCUUUUUUUAAAGUAAGUAAGUAAUAGGAGUUCCCUGUUGGCUCAGAGAGUUAAGGACCUGGCAUUGUCACUGCUGUGGCUCAGGUCGCUGCUGUGGCGUCGGUUUGAUCCCUCGCCUAGGAACUUCCACAUGCUUCAGGCAUGGCCAAAAAAAAAAAAAAAAAAAAAAAAAAAACCUCAUAAAGAAAUACUGUGACUCUUUUUAAAAAUUAAAUGAAUGUAUAGUUCCGAAAAAGAAUUUUUGGUAAAUUUCUGUGAUGCAUUGUUUUUCUUUCAUAGAAUGAACUUGAAACAAAAUUAGAACAAAAUUAUAGGAAAGCUAAUAGCAGUGACAGCAUUUGAUAUUUUUUUGUUCUUUGCAGUUUUCUUCUUAUGGAAACUUUGCUGUGUGUAAGUAUCUCUAAUAUGAGGAUCCUUAAUACGUAGAAAAAUAACAUUAUCUAUAGUAUACAAUAUAGUUAGAGAGCAAAGUCAUGACUGGGGAGCCAAUAUUUGGUACGGAGGCUUUACAGUCACAUUAGGCAAUGUUCAUAGCAAAUGGCCUAAGAAACUUCACUAUGACCUGGCACAACUGGUCAGUGAGUAACUGAGUUAAGCAACCAGCUCAGCAGCUACCCGGAGACUCUGACCCAGUAGCGGGCUGCAGGGGCCAUGGAGAUGGAUCUGGCAACACUCUCAUUUGGUUUGCAGGUGGAGAUAUAGUCUUCAUGUCUUUAUAGAUUAGCCAGAUUGCUCUUAUGUAAAGUACCUUAGCCAAUAAUGUGUGCAUAGAUUUCCUGACUGAAAUGAGUGUUUACCUAGGGAUUGCAUGCAUCAUUAUUUUGAAGGUAAUUGAGAACAUGAGUUGAUAGCCAAUAUUCUUCUUCUUCUUUUUUGGUCUUUUUAGGGCCACAUCCAUGGCAUAUGGAGGUUCCCAGGCUAGGGGUCUAAUUGGAGCUGUAGCUGCUGGCCUACACCACAGCCAUGGCAACACCAGAACCGAGCCGCGACUGCGACCUACACCACAGUUCAUGGCAACGCCGGAUCCUUAAACCCACUAAGUGAGACCAGGGAUCAAACCUGCGUCCUCAUGGAUGCUAGUCAGAUUUGUUUCCACUGAGGUGUGACAGAAACUCCCAAUAGUCAAUAUUCUUAACAUCCGUAAGGCAAGAUCACCCGCCAAUCAAAAGAGAAAAAGAGGCAGCCACCAGAGUUUGGACAAAAGCUCAGAGUUUCCCUUGCUUUUCCCCUAAAGUGCUACAACUCUCUGGAUCCUUCCCUUUAUAAGCCCCAUAUCCACCCAGGUGCCUGACCACCAUCACACCUUCCCAGCUCUAACCUGGAAAGGAAGCCCAGCAGAUAUUUUAAAAUGCUGUCCCAGGCUGCGGUGGGUCCGCCACGAUGGAUGGAGCUCCUAGAACAAACGACCAAAAGAACCAAAGGGAGGGAGGCAUGGGAGAAAACAACUG